UACGGAGGGAGCUAGCGUUGUUCGGAAUCAUUGGGCGUAAAGCGCGCGCAGGCGGUUGAGUAAGUCAGACGUGGAAGCCCAUGGCUUAACCAUGGAAUCGCGUUUGGAACUGCUCGGCUAGAGUUCGGGAGAGGGUGGCGGAAUUCCCAGUGUAGAGGUGAAAUUCGUAGAUAUUGGGAGGAACACCUGUGGCGAAGGCGGCUUCCUGGACCGAUACUGACGCUGAGGCGCGAAAGCGUGGGGAGCAAACGGG
rnacentral:rRNA from 1 species